rnacentral:rRNA from 1 species
CAGGCCUACACAUGCAAGUCGAGCGAGAAAAUCCUCUUCGGAGGAUGAGUAAAGCGGGCACGGGUGAGUAACGCGUGGGUAAUCUACCCUCGAGUCUGGGAUAACCCGCGAAAGCGGGGCUAAUACCGGAUAUGACCACAGUUACCUCGGCGACAUGGUAAAAGGUGGCCUCUCCAUGGAAGCUAUCGCUUGAGGAUGAGCGGGGUCCUAUCAGCUUGUUGGUAGGGUAAUAGCCUACCAAGGCUGAGACGGGAGCUGGUCUGAGAGGACGAUCAGCCACACUGGGACUGAGACACGGCCCAACUCCUACGGGAGGCAGCAGUGGGGAAUAUUGCGCAAUGGGGGAAACCCGACGCAGCGACGCCGCGUGGGUGAUGAAGGCCUUCGGGUGGUAAAGCCC